rnacentral:lncRNA from 1 species
ACAGCCACCUCCGUCAUCUCACCCUCUCUAGUUUGACAUGAAGCCGCCACCGGAGCCGGACUGGAGAGGAACUCGACGCGGCAUCGUUUCGUUCAUCGAGCGCGUUGCAUUAUUUCGAAGUUCGCCGGAGGUCAUUGGAGUUGAGUCACUCGAAACACGAAGAUAGACGACACCGCACAUUCGCAGAGAACCGAAUUCACCGGAACCGAACGGUGGUCGACGGGAAGCCUUUUCGACGCAUUUCGGUAUACCGUCUCAUUCCUUUGUCUUUUUUUCGUUCAGUCACCAGGAAUACCAGUGGCGGAUCCAGAAUUUUUUUCAUCAGGUUCCUUUUACUAGAUUUUCACUAAUUCUCACUAUUUUUUUUCUAAAACAUAUAACAUUUCCACUAUUUUUUCAUUUUUUUUCCAAACCGAGGGGGUUCCCCGGAACCCCCAAAACACCCCUGGAUCCGCCACUAAGGAAUACGCAUCUUGUUCUAGUGGUCAAGCAACUAAGUAUUUGAGAUCAUAACAAACAGUCACGUAAAUAUUCCUUUUAAAUAAAGAAGAUGAUAACUGGAAAUAGUUUAUAAAUGAAAUAAUAGUUUAAACACUUCAUAAGAAUUGAUUGCAGACUAGUGGUUGUCGCUCUAGUUUAGAUCGUCCGAGGUCUCUGGUUCGAGACCAAUCCCUGUUUUUUUUUUCGCUGCACCUUUUAUUUCCUUUUAAAACCAUUAAAUGAGAAUGACUAGUUCUGUUUAAACAUUAUUAACACGAAUCAGCAGCAGCCCAGUUGGUUGUUGCGUUGCUGGGAUACAAAAUGUCACAAGUUCGAUUCCAGAUUCCUUGUUCCUAAAUAAAUGCAUCGGUUUUAUCAUUCUUUUAACCUGAACUUUUUCUUCCUAUUUACAAUAAAAAGUUUUAGAAAUUUGUUAAUAACUUAAUUAAACAAUUCUUUAAACCAUUAAAGGAUGAAUUAUAAUGUCCAAUCGAUUAACUUAUAAACCAUAAAAUUUAGAAAUAUUAUUUAACAUAUUAAAAAUUAAUAAGAUAAUUUACAUGUUUUAUUUUUUUUCACAUUUAGGAUAACCAUUUCGUUCUCUUGGAUUAUUCUUCAAUCCUUACUUGUGCGUUAUUUUAAGAAAUUCUUCACGCAAAUCAAUGUUGUGAUGAUACAAGGAAUCUAGUAGAAUUGCUUAGAAACGCAUUUAAAUUUUAAUACUUGCAAACCCGUUUUAAUUGGUUCCCAAUCUUGUCGCAUUUUAUAAACCAUUAUUAUGAAAUGAAAUUUAUUUACUUGAAUACUUGUCGCAUUUUAUUUAUUUCAAACUUGUGGUAUUUAUAGUUCAAACAAUGUAAAAUGAAAUCAUUAAAUACUUGACACAAAUAGCGUUAUGAUGUCUCUUGCGAUCUAUUUCGUCUCAUCCCGAUGUUUCCGCCAUCGGUUGGGGUGUGACAACUGUGUUCUGUAAGCACCGUAUAAUGUAAAACAUUGUUGGUUAUCAAUAAAACAAUAUGCUUUGGU